CAAGGUAGCUCCAUGGUAGAGUGUGUGCUUAGCAAGCACGAGGUCCUGGGCUCAAUCCCCAGUACCUUCA
rnacentral:tRNA from 1 species